rnacentral:misc_RNA from 1 species
ACAAUGUUAAGACUUGCGACUUUUGCAAGCUACAAAAACGAGAAAAAUGUAUUUCUCUGCAAAUUGUCGAAGGCCGGUUUUGCUUACCAAGGAUAUGACGAUGCUGUGCAAUGUGAAAGUUGCGGGUUCAAAUCCAACAGUUGGACGGAUGUGGGCGACUUGUUCGUGCAACAUGCAGAGCAUGCUCCAAAGUGCCAGUUCGUGCAGCAGAAUCGCAAAAAUGCACCAAGCGUAGAUUCACUACAUAAUUGCAAACGAGAAGCAAUAUCAAAAGAUGCAAACGCGGCCAGGACUUCUUCGACUGAUGUUUGCCCAAAAAUGACUCUUUCUCCAAAAAGUGGUAAUGGAAAUCAGAAACCACAUGCAUCGAACAAUGUGUCAAAUCGAGCAUCAGCAAAAUCUGUUUUUCAAAAUUUAGGGAUUUAUAUUGACAGCAAUCGUGCAAAGUUCCCGUCCUAUGCUGUUUUAGUUAACAGAGUGCAAAGUUUCAGUUCAGCAAAUUCUGUAUUUCACAAACCACCGUCCGAAAUGGCAAUGGCAGGAUUCUUUUACAAAGGUGCGUGGAAACUUUAUUCUAAAGAUUUAAAAUUAUUAUGCCAGUGCAUGUAUUCCUGAAAUUGAAUAUUAGUUUUUACUUAACAAAUGAUUUGCAUGUUCAUUGCAUAAAAUACUGAGUAACAAGAUUGAUUAAAUUUAAAGAUAUAUUAUGAAUUAAAAAAAAUCAAAAGAACGAAAACAAAACAGGAAAAACAAUAACGAAUUAAAAAUAAGGUUGAAUUGAAAUGAAAACCCAAAAUAAAAUUAUCAUAAAAUUACACUGAAAAGAUAGACGCUAAUUGAUAGAGUUAUUUUUUUUUAUUCAGGGUAUUCCGAUUGCGUCUGCUGCUUCAGUUGCGGAGGAAGUUUGUCAGAAUGGCGUCCUAAUGAUGAUCCAUGGGUAGAGCAUGCGUACUGGUUUCCGGAAUGUACGUUUGUUAUCCAAAACAAAGGCGAGGAAUUUGUGCAGCAGAUCCAACUUCUCAAAAAAGCUGAUGAUGAGCAGGUAAAAUAUUUUGCUUUAGAGUUUUUCAUAAAUAAAAUAAAU